AACGAACGCUGGCGGCAGGCUUAACACAUGCAAGUCGAACGCCCCGCAAGGGGAGUGGCAGACGGGUGAGUAACGCGUGGGAACGUGCCUUUCGGUUCGGAACAGACCCGGGAAACUGGGAUUAAUACCGGAUACGUCCUUAGGGAGAAAGAUUUAUCGCCGAAAGAUCGGCCCGCGUCUGAUUAGCUAGUUGGCGGGGUAAUGGCCCACCAAGGCGACGAUCAGUAGCUGGUCUGAGAGGAUGANCAGCCACACUGGGACUGAGACACGGCCCAGACUCCUACGGGAGGCAGCAGUGGGGAAUAUUGGACAAUGGGCGCAAGCCUGAUCCAGCCAUGCCGCGUGAGUGAUGAAGGCCUUAGGGUUGUAAAGCUCUUUCGGCGGGACGAUAAUGACGGUACCCGCAGAAGAAGCCCCGGCUAACUUCGUGCCAGCAGCCG
rnacentral:rRNA from 1 species